rnacentral:rRNA from 1 species
GAAAUUCGGAUUAAUACCCCAUAACGAUGUGAUACUGCAUGGUAUUACAUUUAAAACUCCGGUGGUUAAGGAUGGGCAUGCGUGACAUUAGUUAGUUGGUGAGGUAACGGCUCACCAAGGCGACGAUGUCUAGGGGGCCUGAGAGGGUGACCCCCCACACUGGUACUGAGACACGGACCAGACUCCUACGGGAGGCAGCAGUGAGGAAUAUUGCGCAAUGGACGAAAGUCUGACGCAGCCAUGCCGCGUGCAGGAUGACGGCCCUACGGGUUGUAAACUGCUUUUUUACAGGAAGAACUCCCUGCUCGUGAGCGGGGCUGACGGUACUGUAUGAAUAAGCACCGGCUAACUCCGUGCCAGCAGCCGCGGUAAUACGGAGGGUGCAAGCGUUAUCCGGAUUUAUUGGGUUUAAAGGGUGCGUAGGCGGAAUAAUAAGUCAGUGGUGAAAUCCUGCAGCUCAACUGUAGAAUUGCCAUUGAUACUGUUAUUCUUGAGUGCGAUUGAGGUAGGCGGAAUGUGUAAUGUAGCGGUGAAAUGCUUAGAUAUUACACAGAACACCGAUUGCGUAGGCAGCUUACUAAGUCGUA